GACAGAGGGUGCAACCGUUGCUCGGAAUCACUGGGCGUAAAGGGCGUGUAGGCGGGAAUGUAAGUCGGGCGUGAAAUCCCUAGGCUCAACCUAGGAACUGCACUCGAAACUGCGUUUCUUGAGUAUCGGAGAGGAAAGCGGAAUACCUGGUGUAGAGGUGAAAUUCGUAGAUAUCAGGUGGAACACCAGUGGCGAAGGCGGCUUUCUGGACGAUAACUGACGCUGAGACGCGAAAGCGUGGGGAGCAAACAGG
rnacentral:rRNA from 1 species